ensembl:rRNA 5S_rRNA 5S ribosomal RNA
GCUUACGGCCAUACCACCCUGAGUGCGCCUGAUCUCGUCUGAUCUUGGAAGCUAAGCAGGGUCGGGCCUGGUUAGUACUUGGAUGGGAGACCACCUGGGAAUACCAGGUGCUGUAAGCU